AGCCACUGCUUCGAGCGCGGCAUUCAUCAUCAAAAGUUUUAUGCCAUAUUUUGCAUAACCACCUCUCCCGCCGCACUCCGCCUCCUCCUCUGCCUUUGAGUUGCUGCCAGACAAAAGCUUCACUGCCUUUCAUCUCAGUCUCACACACACCUGAAACGCAAAUUUCCUUUCCGAAAAAUGUAGUUUCCAUGCACUUAUUACCUUCAUUUAUCUCUCUCAUACCCAGAAAAAGCUGUCAGGAGGCGUGUGUGUGUGUGUGUGUGUGUGUGGGGGUGUGUGUGUGUGUGUGUGUGUGUGUGUGUAGCAAAGGGCUUUCAUGUUGUACUUAUAUAAAUUUGCAUCUCUAUUUAUGCAUGGAAUUUUAUGUUUUCUUUCCCGGCCAAGUUAAUGCCCCGCUAUUAAAACGACAAACAGUUUACCAAUGACGGACAAAUUAUGUAUAUACACACCUGCAUUAUUUACCUGCCGCUGAAUCGAAGAGCCGCACCUGCAAACAUUUUGAUGAACGCUCUUAGUCAUCAGCGACACAUACAUUUUUCACCCGUAAUAUUCCCAAACGAAACGGAAUCAAGUCCAGGAGCGGCGAGUUGAUGAAACGCUACUUUCCCUCCACAUAAUUUCCUUUUUCCUUUGACGAGGCCACGCGCAGUUAUAUCGUACGUCCCCAUUAUAGAUAUGGAUAGAUACGACUUCAACUGCUUUAAAAGGUGAGUAUCGAAACGGCCCUUGUACAGAUCCAUUUAAGUAUGUCUCCUUGUGUGGAAGACGCGGCAGCUUUGAGCCUCGACGCCGGGUAAAGAAAACUGUGCUCCAUUUCCUUGAGUGUAAGUUGAUGAAAUAUUGCAGUUUACACGUUCAUCCCGAGUGACAAACCAGCAACCCUUGAGCCUCCAGAACCAAUAAGCAAAGAUCUUUUCCCUUCUUUCCAGGCUGGAGGGAUCCUGCGGCGCCAGCGUGGCCUCCGUCAGUGGCAGGAACCUGGGCGAUGGCCUCGUGGUGGUCCCCGGUGCUCCUGCGGCGGCGAGGUGCAUGGUGAACGUCCCACAUGUUGGUCUCCGGCGACGGUGCUCAG